CCUACGGGUGGCAGCAGUGGGGAAUAUUGCGCAAUGGGCGAAAGCCUGACGCAGCGACGCCGCGUGAGGGAUGAAGGUCUUCGGAUCGUAAACCUCUGUCAGCAGGGAAGAACGGUCACUGUGCUAAUCAGCAGUGAAUUGACGGUACCUGCAAAGGAAGCACCGGCUAACUCCGUGCCAGCAGCCGCGGUAAUACGGAGGGUGCGAGCGUUAAUCGGAAUUACUGGGCGUAAAGCGCUCGUAGGCGGUAUGUCAAGUCAAGGGUGAAAUCCCCGCGCUCAACGUGGGAACUGCCUUUGAAACUGGCAAACGUGAGUGUGUGAGAGGAUAGUGGAAUGCCAGGUGUAGGAGUGACAUCCGUAGUUAUCUGGAGGAACAUCAGUGGCGAAGGCGACUAUCUGGCACAUAACUGACGCUGAGGAGCGAAAGCGUGGGUAGCAAACAGGAGUAGAUACCCCAGUAGUC
rnacentral:rRNA from 1 species